CAGACUCGUACGGAAGCAGCAGUACGGAGUUUUCACAUGAACGGAAGGUCUGAUGAGCAUGCGCGUGAGUGAUGACCGUCCUCGGAUGUAAAGCUCUGUUGUAGGAAGAAAUACUAGAAGAGGAAAUGCUUUUAGUUUGACGGUACUUACCAGAAAGCACGGCUAACUAUGUGCCAGCAGCCGCGGUAAUACAUAGGUGGCAAGCGUUAUCCGGAUUUAUUGGGCGUAUAGGGUGCGUAGGCGGUUAGUUAAGUUUGAGGUCAAAGCCCGGGGCUCAACCCCGGUUCGCCUUGAAAACUGGCUGACUAGAAUACAGGAGAGGUAGAUGGAAUUCCAUGUGUAGCGGUGAAAUGCGUAGAUAUAUGGAGGAACACCAGUGGCGUAGGCGGUCUACUGGCCUGUUAUUGACGCUGAGGCACGAAAGCGUGGGGAGCAAAUAGGAUUAGAUACCCUAGUAGUCCACGCCGUAAACGUUGAGUACUAAGUGUCGGCAUUAUGUCGGUGCUGCAGCUAACGCAUUAAGUACUCCGCCUGAGUAGUAUGCCCGCAAGAGUGAAACUCAAAGGAAUUGACGGGGACCCGCACAAGUGGUGGAGCAUGUGGUUUAAUUCGAAGCAACGCGAAGAACCUUACCAGGGCUUGACAUCCAGUGCAAAGCUACAGAGAUGUAGUGGAGGUUAACAUUGAGACAGGUGGUGCAUGGUUGUCGUCAGCUCGUGCCGUGAGGUGUUGGGUUAAGUCCCGCAACGAGCGCAACCCUUAUCAUUAGUUACUAACAUUCAGUUGAGCACUCUAAUGAGACUGCUAGUGUAAGCUAGAGGAAGGUGGGGAUGACGUCAAAUCAUCAUGCCCCUUAUGUCCUGGGCUACACACGUGCUACAAUGGCUGGUACAAAGAGUUGCAAUCCCGCGAGGGGGAGCUAAUCUCAAAAAGCCAGUCUCAGUUCGGAUUGAAGUCUGCAACUCGACAUCAUGAAGCCGGAAUCACUAGUAAUCGCGAAUCAGCAAUGUCGCGGUGAAUACGUUCUCGGGUCUUGUACACACCGCCCGUCACACCAUGAGAGUUGGUAAUACCAGAAGUAUGUAUCUUAACCGCAAGGAGGGAGCGUACCAAGGUAGGACUAGCGAUUAGGGUGAAGUCGUAACAAGGUAACCGUA
rnacentral:rRNA from 1 species